CAGCCGUAAACAAUGUGCGUUAGGUGUGUCGGUAACCACGUGUUACUGAUGCGCCGAAGAGAAAUCGUGAAACGCACCACCUGGGAAGUACGGUCGCAAGGCUGAAACUUAAAGGAAUUGGCGGGGGGAGCACCACAACAGGUGGAGCCUGCGGUUUAAUUGGACUCAACGCCGGAAAUCUCACCGGAUAGGGACAGACAUAUGAUAGUCGGGCUGAAGACUCUACUUGAUGAUCUGAGAGGAGGUGCAUGGCGUCAGUGACU
rnacentral:rRNA from 1 species